GAUGAACGCUGGCGGCGUGCUUAACACAUGCAAGUCGAGCGAGUGAGUUCUUCGGAACGAUCUAGCGGCGGACGGGUGAGUAACACGUGGGCAACCUGCCUCAUAGAGGGGAAUAGCCUCCCGAAAGGGAGAUUAAUACCGCAUAACAUCGUUGAAGGGCAUCCUUCGAUGAUCAAAGGAGAAAUCCGCUAUGAGAUGGGCCCGCGGCGCAUUAGCUAGUUGGUGAGGUAACGGCUCACCAAGGCGACGAUGCGUAGCCGACCUGAGAGGGUGAUCGGCCACAUUGGGACUGAGACACGGCCCAGACUCCUACGGGAGGCAGCAGUGGGGAAUAUUGCACAAUGGGGGAAACCCUGAUGCAGCAACACCGCGUGAGUGAUGACGGCCUUCGGGUUGUAAAGCUCUGUCUUUGGGGACGAUAAUGACGGUACCCAAGGAGGAAGUCACGGCUAACUACGUGCCAGCCGCCGCGGUAA
rnacentral:rRNA from 1 species